UACGUAGGGGGCUAGCGUUGUCCGGAAUCAUUGGGCGUAAAGCGCGUGUAGGCGGUCCGGUAAGUCCGCUGUGAAAGUCGGGGGCUCAACCCUCGAAUGCCGGUGGAUACUGUCGGGCUAGAGUGCGGAAGAGGCGAGUGGAAUUCCUGGUGUAGCGGUGAAAUGCGCAGAUAUCAGGAGGAACACCUAUUGCGAAGGCAGCUCGCUGGGACGUAACUGACGCUGAGGCGCGAAAGCGUGGGGAGCGAACAGG
rnacentral:rRNA from 1 species